CGCUUCCUGUUAACCUUCUCAAAUACACAUAGGAAGUAGAGCCUGCCCGGUGCCAAACUGGUAAACGGCGAUCUCUUAAUGUAGCGCAAUUCCUUGCCCUUUAAAUGAGGGCAGUAGGUGAAUGGACUGACGACAGCCUCACUGUCUCAUAGUCUUUAAGAAUUGGAAUUGAAGUGAAGAUACUUCAAUGUAAAAGAAAGACGACAAGACCCCUAAAACUUUAUAUAAACGUUAACACAAUGUUAACGGGAUAUUUGGCUGGGGCAGCAACUUCAAAAACGAAAAGCAUAGCUUAGACUUUCCACAAAAGAUCCAAGUUUAGUUUAAAACUUAAACUUGAAAAAGGAUAAAGUUACUUUGGGGAUAACAGCGUAAUCUGCCUGGAGAGCUCUUAUUGAUGGGCAGGUUUGCGACCUCGAUGUUGGCUUAACAUUACCCUCUGGUAUGCAGAAGCCAGAAAUGGUUGGUUUGUUCACCCAUUAAAAUGUU
rnacentral:rRNA from 1 species